rnacentral:rRNA from 1 species
GACUAGAGUUUGAUCCUGGCUCAGAGCGAACGUUAGCGGCGCGCCUAACACAUGCAAGUCGCACGAGGUAGCAAUACCUAGUGGCGCACGGGUGCGUAACACGUAGAUAACCUGCCCUAAGGAGGGGGAUAACGUUCCGAAAGGAGCGCUAAUACCGCAUAACACUGCGUCCAGUUCGCUGGAUGCAGGCAAAGGCUGGGACCGGCAACGGCCAGUCGCCAUAGGAGGGGUCUGCGGCCCAUCAGCUAGUUGGUGAGGUAAUGGCUCACCAAGGCAGAGACGGGUAGCUGGUCUGAGAGGAUGAUCAGCCACACUGGUACUGGAACACGGACCAGACUCCUACGGGAGGCAGCAGUGGGGAAUCUUGGUCAAUGGGCGCAAGCCUGAACCAGCGACGCCGCGUGAGUGAUGAAGGCCUUCGGGUUGUAAAGCUCUGUGGGGAGGGACGAAAGACUGAGGUCUAAUAGGCUUCAGGUUGACGGUACCUCCUUAGCAAGCACCGGCUAACUCUGUGCCAGCAGCCGCGGUAA